GUGAAUCAUCGAAUCUUUGAACGCAUCUUGCGCUCCUUGGUAUUCUGAGGAGCAUGCCUGUUUGAGUGUCAUUAAAUUCUCAACCUCACUGGCUUUGCAGCUGGUUUGGCUUGGAUUUGGGGGAUGUUGCAGGCUUUCACAAGUCAGCUCCCCUAAAAUGCAUUAGCGGUACCCUUGUGGUAAACGGCUACUGGUGUGAUAGCUAUCUACGCCAUUAGACGGCCCACUUCAUUUGGGGUUGUGCUGCUUCUAACCGUCCUCUUGGACAAGUCUUUAUGACCACCUUGACCUCAAAUCAGGUAGGACUACCCGCUGAACUUAAGCAUAUCAAUAAGCGGAGGA
rnacentral:misc_RNA from 1 species